rnacentral:rRNA from 1 species
AACGAACGCUGGCGGCAUGCCUAACACAUGCAAGUCGAACGAGACCUUCGGGUCUAGUGGCGAACGGGUGCGUAACGCGUGGGAAUCUACCCUCAGGUUCGGAAUAACUCAGAGAAAUUUGAGCUAAUACCGGAUGAUGACGUAAGUCCAAAGAUUUAUCGCCUGAGGAUGAGCCCGCGUAGGAUUAGGUAGUUGGUGAGGUAAAGGCUCACCAAGCUGACGAUCCUUAGCUGGUCUGAGAGGAUGAUCAGCCACACUGGGACUGAGACACGGCCCAGACUCCUACGGGAGGCAGCAGUGGGGAAUAUUGGACAAUGGGCGAAAGCCUGAUCCAGCAAGGCCGCGUGAGUGAUGAAGGCCUUAGGGUUGUAAAGCUCUUUUACCCGGGAUGAUAAUGACAGUACCGGGAGAAUAAGCUCCGGCUAACUCCGUG